rnacentral:rRNA from 1 species
GCUCAGAUUGAACGCUGGCGGGAGGCCUAACACAUGCAAGCCGAGCGGUAGAGUCUCUUCGGAGACUUGAGAGCGGCGCACGGGUGCGGAACACGUGUGCAACCUGCCUUUAUCUGGGGGAUAGCCUUUCGAAAGGAAGAUUAAUACCCCAUAAUAUACUGGAUGGCAUCAUCUGGUAUUGAAAACUCCGGUGGAUAGAGAUGGGCACGCGCAAGAUUAGAUAGUUGGUGAGGUAACGGCUCACCAAGUCAGCGAUCUUUAGGGGGCCUGAGAGGGUGAUCCCCCACACUGGUACUGAGACACGGACCAGACUCCUACGGGAGGCAGCAGUGAGGAAUAUUGGACAAUGGGUGAGAGCCUGAUCCAGCCAUCCCGCGUGAAGGACGACGGCCCUAUGGGUUGUAAACUUCUUUUGUAUAGGGAUAAACCUAGAUACGUGUAUCUAGCUGAAGGUACUAUACGAAUAAGCACCGGCUAACUCCGUGCCAGCAGCCGCGGUAAUACGGAGGGUGCAAGCGUUAUCCGGAUUUAUUGGGUUUAAAGGGUCCGUAGGCUGAUUUGUAAGUCAGUGGUGAAAUCUCACAGCUUAACUGUGAAACUGCCAUUGAUACUGCAAGUCUUGAGUGUUGUUGAAGUAGCUGGAAUAAGUAGUGUAGCGGUGAAAUGCAUAGAUAUUACUUAGAACACCAAUUGCGAAGGCAGGUUACUAAGCAACAACUGACGCUGAUGGACGAAAGCGUGGGGAGCGAACAGGAUUAGAUACCCUGGUAGUCCACGCCGUAAACGAUGCUAACUCGUUUUUGGGUUUUCGGAUUCAGAGACUAAGCGAAAGUGAUAAGUUAGCCACCUGGGGAGUACGAACGCAAGUUUGAAACUCAAAGGAAUUAACGGGGGCCCGCACAAGCGGUGGAUUAUGUGGUUUAAUUCGAUGAUACGCGAGGAACCUUACCAAGGCUUAAAUGGGAAAUGACAGGUUUAGAAAUAGACUUUUCUUCGGACAUUUUUCAAGGUGCUGCAUGGUUGUCGUCAGCUCGUGUUGUGAAAUGUAAUCU